rnacentral:rRNA from 1 species
AGAGUUUGAUUCUGGCUCAGAUUGAACGCUGGCGGCGUGCUUAACACAUGCAAGUCGAACGUGAAAGUCCUUCGGGGCGAGUAAAGUGGCGCACGGGUGAGUAACGCGUGGAUAAUCUACCCUUAAGAUGGGGAUAACGGCUGGAAACGGUCGCUAAUACCGAAUACGCUCCCGAUUUUAUCGUUGGGGGGAAAGAUGGCCUCUGCUUGCAAGCUAUCGCUUAAGGAUGAGUCCGCGUCCCAUUAGCUAGUUGGCGGGGUAACGGCCCACCAAGGCAACGAUGGGUAGCCGGUCUGAGAGGAUGACCGGCCACACUGGAACUGGAACACGGUCCAGACUCCUACGGGAGGCAGCAGUGGGGAAUAUUGCGCAAUGGGCGAAAGCCUGACGCAGCGACGCCGCGUGAGGGAUGAAGGUUCUCGGAUCGUAAACCUCUGUCAGGGGGGAAGAAACCCCCUCGUGUGAAUAAUGCGAGGGCUUGACGGUACCCCCAAAGGAAGCACCGGCUAACUCCGUGCCAGCAGCCGCGGUAAUACGGAGGGUGCAAGCGUUAAUCGGAAUCACUGGGCGUAAAGCGCACGUAGGCGGCUUGGUAAGUCAGGGGUGAAAUCCCACAGCCCAACUGUGGAACUGCCUUUGAUACUGCCAGGCUUGAGUACCGGAGAGGGUGGCGGAAUUCCAGGUGUAGGAGUGAAAUCCGUAGAUAUCUGGAGGAACACCGGUGGCGAAGGCGGCCACCUGGACGGUAACUGACGCUGAGGUGCGAAAGCGUGGGUAGCAAACAGGAUUAGAUACCCUGGUAGUCCACGCUGUAAACGAUGGGUGCUGGGUGCUGGGAUGUAUGUCUCGGUGCCGUAGCUAACGCGAUAAGCACCCCGCCUGGGGAGUACGGUCGCAAGGCUGAAACUCAAAGAAAU